GAUGAACGCUGGCGGCGUGCCUAAUACAUGCAAGUCGAGCGAACAGACGAGGAGCUUGCUCCUCUGACGUUAGCGGCGGACGGGUGAGUAACACGUGGAUAACCUACCUAUAAGACUGGGAUAACUUCGGGAAACCGGAGCUAAUACCGGAUAAUAUAUUGAACCGCAUUGUUCAAUGGUAAAAGACGGUUUUGCUGUCACUUAUAGAUGGAUCCGCGCCGCAUUAUAUGGUUGGUAAGGUAACGGCUUACCAAGGCAACGAUGCGUAACCGACCUGAGGGGGUGGUCGGCCACCCUGGAACUGAGACAGGGUCCAGACUCCUGAGGGAGGCAGCAGUAGGGAAUCUUACGCAAUGGGGGAAAGCCUGACGGAGCAACGCCGCGUGAGUGAUGAAGGUCUUCUGAUCGGAAAACUCUGUUAUUAGUGAAGAACAAAUGUGUAAGUAACUGUGCACGUCUUGACGGUACCUAAUCAGAAAGCCACGGCUAACUACGUG
rnacentral:rRNA from 1 species